UCGAGAAUCUUCCGCAAUGGGCGAAAGCCUGACGGAGCGACGCCGCGUGCGGGAUGAAGGCCCUUGGGUUGUAAACCGCUGUCGGAGGGGAUGAAAUCACGGUAGGCAAUCCUUCCGUGUUGACAAAGCCUCUAUAGGAAGCACGGGCUAAGUACGUGCCAGCAGCCGCGGUAACACGUACUGUGCGAACGUUAUUCGGAAUCACUGGGCUUAAAGGGUGCGUAGGCGGUUUAUCAAGUCAGAUGUGAAAUGCCUCAGCUCAACUGAGGCACUGCGUUUGAAACUGAUAGACUUGAGUAUUCCAGGGGUAUGCGGAACUGCCAGUGGAGCGGUGAAAUGCGUUGAUAUUGGCAGGAACACCAGUGGCGAAGGCGGCAUACUGGGGGAUCACUGACGCUGAGGCACGAAAGCCAGGGUAGCGAACGGG
rnacentral:rRNA from 1 species